GCCAGCAGCCACAUCCACCCUGCAGCUCUCAACUGGCUCCCCACUGAAGCUAAGCAGGGUUGAGCCUGGUCAGUACCUGGAUGAGAGACUCCUGGGGAAGCUAUGGCUGCUGCUGGCA
rnacentral:rRNA from 1 species